rfam:Rattus norvegicus chromosome 5, whole genome shotgun sequence.
GGGGAUUUAGCUCAGUGGUAGAGUGCUUGCCUAGCAAGCGCAAGGUCCUGGGUUCGAUCCCCAGCUCCG